rnacentral:rRNA from 1 species
GAUGAACGCUGACAGAAUGCUUAACACAUGCAAGUCAACUGUGGCGGACGGGUGAGUCACGCGUAAAGAUCUUGCCUCACAGCUAGGGACAACAUUUGGAAACGAAUGCUAAUACCUGAUACUGUUCGAGAGUUUUGCGUCCCCGUAGCUAGUUGGAGAGGUAACUGAUCACGAAGGCGAGGAUGGGUAGCCGGCCUGAGAGGGUGAUCGGACCCAAGGGGACUGGGGAACGGCCCGUACUCCAACGGGAGGCAUCAGUGGGGAAGAUUGGAAAAGAGGCCAAAGUCUGAUCCAGCAAUGCGGGGUGUACAAUGAAGUUGUCGGGAUGUAAAGUGCUUUCAGUUGGGAAGCGGUACCAACAGAAGAAGUGACGGCUAAAUACGUGCCAGCAGCCGCGGUAAUAC